GUGAUUCUCUUGCCUCAGCUCCUGAGUGGCUGGGAUUACAGCACGCAGAACCACCUUCUCCAUAGCUGGGCAGAGGGCAGAACUCCCAGCCAAAAUGACAGACCCAUGAGACAUAUGGAGCUCAACUGUUUCUAGAGGGAUCUGAGCCAUGUCCGCCGUGGUGCAGGCUUCAGCUUCCCCUCGAGAAGCCAAGUUCCAAGCCAUCCGCAAAAUGAUCACUCAGCAUCCAC
rnacentral:lncRNA from 1 species